UUCACGUGUUGAUAUUGUUACUCUUUUGAAGUCUUUUGAUGAUGAAAAGUUCUGGUGACCUUUUAUUCCCCUGCCGUGGUCCAGCACAUCCGCUCAACGAAUGAGGUGACGAGAAAUUCUAGAAAAGUGAAAUCAUUUUGAACGCUUAGGUUGCCCUUCUAUGAGAGGGGAUUAAGAAAUCUGCAUUGAGAUUGCAGCCCAAGAAAGCAGAGCAGUGAGAGACCUUAAUUUUGACUGGUGGCAGGAAUUCAGCUAGAUAGCUAUAAAAUCAUUCUGAACACCUGUGAAAUCGAGGGGAGUUCAAAGAAAAGAAUACCUGCAACUCAUCAGAUAGAAAAGUGACCGUGUUCUGCCAGUAAGCUGCCAUGCUGGAGAAGCCCACUUGAUAAGGAACCAGCCAGCCCCAGACAAGAGCCCACAAGGUACUAAAGAUCUCAUUCCAAUAGACUUUGAGGAACUGUAUCAUGCCAGCAACUAUGUGAAUGAGUACAGGAGUUGGUCCUUCCCCAGUCAAGCCUCCAGAUGAGAAUGUAGUAGCCUCAGCUGACACCUUAAUUGCAGCCUUGAAGCAGAGAAUCCAGGAUCCAGACAUCAGCAAUACAAAUUUGGAUAAAAAUGAGUGUCUGCGGGAGCAUCUGGGUUGCACAGUUGGCUACCUAUGGCUUCCCAUCAUCUCCCAAGAGAGGAAAAAAACAGAACACUCCUAAGGAAUGGGCAGCUGUGAAGCAGGGAAUGAAGCAGCAAGCAGGAACUUCAUCAGCAUAAGACAAGGAUGAAGCAGGCCUGAGCUGGAGCAGAAAGAAGACUAACACUACUAAGUCAAACUUGGACUUCUGAUUACUUUAUGGGAAUUCUCAUCUGAGCAUACCUUCUCACCCAUGGCCAGAGGUUCUUACUCAGGGUCAUGGACCCAUUGCCACUAUGGGUAGAAAUCCAUAUUUCUAAUUUGAGACAAAAAGCAGAUGUUUAUUUUCACUAACUAAACUCUAACUGAAAUUUAGCAUUUCAUUUCACAUAAAAUGCAACAAAAUGUAGUAAUAUCACUGGUACCUGUGACUCUAUGACCAACAAAACCAUGGUUAUUCAUAAUUUACUCUAGAUUGGUGUAGACAUCU